GGUGCGCAAGCCAGACAACUACCACCUCGGGUAGUGCGUCACUGCUGCCUAGGGUGACGCGCUAUCGCCGCCGGUAAAGGAGGCCCUCCUCCCUCGUUUUUCAUACCGAACAUCUUUCUCUUCUCUCUCUUCACCAGAUUUCAUCACUUGGCGUGAAUCUGACAAUUCUGAAACUCUAUAAAUUGCUCUUCCCCUUUCUUUCCUCUCCACACUUCCAUUCUUCUAUUUUUCAAGAUUUAGAGAGAGAAAGAGAGAGAGAGAGAGAUAGUAGUCUAGUGAGAGAAGAAGAGAAAAAAAGGAGAAUGGUGAAGGAGAAAAUAUCGA
rnacentral:lncRNA from 1 species